rnacentral:rRNA from 1 species
AGAUUGAACGCUGGCGGCAUGCCUUACACAUGCAAGUCGAACGGCAGCACGGGAGCAAUCCUGGUGGCGAGUGGCGAACGGGUGAGUAAUAUAUCGGAACGUGCCCAGUCGUGGGGGAUAACGCAGCGAAAGCUGUGCUAAUACCGCAUACGAUCUAUGGAUGAAAGCGGGGGAUCGCAAGACCUCGCGCGAUUGGAGCGGCCGAUAUCAGAUUAGCUAGUUGGUGGGGUAAAAGCCUACCAAGGACGACGAUCUGUAGCUGGUCUGAG